UUGCCAGACUCCUACGGGAGGCAGCAGUGAGGAAUAUUGGUCAAUGGGCGGGAGCCUGAACCAGCCAAGUCGCGUGAGGGAAGACGGUCCUACGGAUUGUAAACCUCUUUUGCCGGGGAGCAACGGGGUCCUUGCGAGGGCCCGCUGAGAGUACCCGGAGACAAAGCAUCGGCUAACUCCGUGCCAGCAGCCGCGGUAAUACGGAGGAUGCGAGCGUUAUCCGGAUUUAUUGGGUUUAAAGGGCGCGUAGGCGGAAUAUCAAGUCAGCGUUAAAAAUUCGGGGCUCAACCCCGUCGUGCCGUUGAAACUGAUGUUCUUGAGCGGGCGAGAAGUAUGCGGAAUGCGUGGUGUAGCGGUGAAAUGCAUAGAUAUCACGCAGAACUCCGAUUGCGAGGGCAGCAUACCGGCGCCCAACUGACGCUGAAGCACGAAAGCGUGGGUAUCGAACAGGAUUAGAUACCCUUGUA
rnacentral:rRNA from 1 species